rnacentral:rRNA from 1 species
CUUGAACGCUGGCGGCAGGCCUAACACAUGCAAGUCGAACGAGUGGCGGACGGGUGAGUAAUGUCUGGGAAACUGCCCGAUGGAGGGGGCUAACUACUGGAAACGGUAGCUAAUACCGCAUACCAUCGGAUGUGCCCAGAUGGGAUUAGCUAGUAGGUGGGGUAACGGCUCACCUCGGCGACGCUCCCUAGCUGGUCUGAGAGGAUGACCAGCAAGACUGGAAGUGAGACAAGGUCCAGACUCCUACGGGAGGCAGCAGUGGGGAAGAUUGCAAAAUGGGCGCAAGCCUGAGGCAGCAAUGCCGCGUGUAUGAAGAAGGCCUUCGGGUUGUAAAGUACUUUCAGCGAGGAGGCGUUACUCGAAGAAGAAGCACCGGCUAACUCCGUGCCAGCAGCCGCGGUAAUUC